UGGAAUCAGGAUAAAUUUUGCUUCAAGUGAUUUACUGGGUUUGCUUGUUGCUAAGCUGGUCUUGCUGGAAACUGCAAUUGUUUUUGCUGGAACAGUAGUUAAUUUUUGCUGGAUUCAGGAUAAAUUUUUGCUUCAAGAGAUUUACUGGGUUUGCUUUGUUGCUAACUGCUAAGCUCCUUUUGCUGGAAACUGCAAUUGUUUUUGCUGGAACUAGUUUUUGGUUUUGCUACAACUGACCAUUAGAGUUUUUUGGUCCGAGUGUGUUUUUUCGCUGGAUUCCGGUUGUGCAGGUCGACGACGGCGGUGAGCCAGAGGCGGCGGCGCCGUUCUAUGAUGGGCGGCACGAGUUGCUGGAACCAGCGUUUGCAAAGACGCAUCCGGCAAGGAGUGGUGCUGGAACGAUGACCUGAUGAGUAGGGCGUGCGAUGAUGGCGAAUUUGAGUUGCGGUGAGAUCCGGCUAGCGGCGGCGAUCCAGCGAGUCAUCUCGCUCCUCAUCCAUGGCGCUCGUGCCCCUGUGUGCGCUCGCAUGGUUAGUAGGGGGAAAGAAAAAAAAUGUGGGGGCGAAAUGCUUCUGAAUCUGACGGCUAAAAGAGGUUUCAUCUGACGUCUACGGUGCUAUCGGCCCAAAUUUGGGCCGGGGGACCGGCGCCUAUCAGUACCCUUGUUUGAUUCCGCUUUCUCUGUUUUUAUAGGCUAGAGGAUAAAGCUCCCGCUAUCCAGGGUAUUUUCCUUCUAGGCCAGUCUGCUGCUGAAAUAAGCUCGCAAGCUGAUCUUACGAUGAAGAUCGUCAGGGAUCUAGUUGAUUUGGAUAUCUUGAUUGUGCGGUCUGUGCCUGUUGUCGUGAUUUGUGUUCAGCCGUGCCUGCUGAUUUUAAGGUAUUUACCAAUUAUCAUUUCGAUGUGGAAAAUCGAGUUGUAUUGCAUGGUGGAUACCAAACGGUUUAGCUCGAUGCAGCGCUACUGGUUUCCCUUCCUACCGUACGGGUUGCAACGAGGACACGGUUUCUUUUCUUAUGGAGGGGCGUCUUUGGUUCAGAAGCCGUCUGGACCUAGACCUUGUGUGCGUGG
rnacentral:lncRNA from 1 species